UAUAGAUAUAUGAGUGAUAUAUAAUUAUAGAGUCUAGUUACUAUUCUCUUAUGAGUACAAUUGCCUUCGUAUUCAUAAAUCGUUUUUAAUGAUAGAGAUUUUGAAUCGAUAAUUCAUAAAGUUAAGCCUAAUUUAGAGCAUUUGAUAUUUUUAUAAACCAAAUUUUAUAAAUUUUCGACAUUAAUUACCUUAUGAUUAAAAGAUAUCAAAAGUGGUAAUUUUUAAUGAUCAGUAUAAAAUACUUGCUAGUUUAACAGUGUAAAAGAAUCAAAAUUAGUUGAAUUUUUGAUAAAAAAUUCUAUUCAUUAUUUAGAUAAAAUCAAUAAUUUUCGUCUUAAAUUGAAGAAUCUGAUUCUUUAUUUUUAGGAGGUUGUUCGGUUUUAACCAUUCAUUGUAUACCCACUUGAUGGAUUUUAUUAUAAUUUUAAAAAAUUACGGAAUUCGUUUUCUAUAAGUCUCAAAUGUUCUAUAUCAUAUUUAAAUGUAUGGAUUGUCAAUUUGAAAACCCUAUCAUUAAAAAUAAUAUAUGAGUAUAAAAAUUAAAGUUUAGAGUGCUUAUUAAAAAUAGCCAUUAUUUGAGGGGGUU
rnacentral:lncRNA from 1 species